GUUGGAAUGAUGUUGAAGGGUUGGUUAUUUGGAGGAAUGGAUGGGAAGGGGUUUAGAUAUGUAGGAGAGGCAAGGAAAGGCUUGGAGAAUGGUUAAUUUCUGGAUCAUUUGAAUGAGGUUGAUGCCAUGGUAUUUAUAGGAAGAUGAUGGACUUGUUUAACACAAAAUGUUGGUGGAAUUGAGUAGGUGAGCAUGGCAAAGAGUGGGAAUUGUUGGUGGGUUAGGUAUUGAGUCAUCCACUCA
rnacentral:lncRNA from 1 species